rnacentral:lncRNA from 1 species
UCAUUUUAAAAUAAGUAUAAUUGGUACGCUCUUCAGGGAUUGAACAGGAAAACAUGGUAUUGUUUUGCCACAGAGAGAGAGAGAGAGAGAGAGAGAGAGAGAUUGAUUACUGGAGGAAGGAAAAAAGGAAUGAAGGAAAAAAGGAAGAAGAAAGAGAGAGUAUAAAAACCAUUGCAAGAAAUUACAGGAAAACACAGAAGCCAG